rnacentral:lncRNA from 1 species
CUCAUGAACGUUGCAGCAAACAUUUGCUUAUGUCUAAUACUCUUUAGACAAUCCACACACCAAUUCACGACAGUCUUCAUUCAUACCUACUUCCAACAUAUGAACGACUGUGGCCCGUUCGAAUAAUUUGACUGUUCUUAACCAAUUAAAUUAUUCAGGAAGUCAAAACAUGCAAAGUGAAACACAAGAAUAAUACUAAUCUCAUAUGGCCUCAAACCUUUGAGUAUAAAUAAAACACCUUUUAUUUAUCACCAUAUCGAUUACUCAUUAUUUGUUGUUUCGGGUAAUCAACUUCUUACUUGAAUUAUUACUACACUUGUCCCAUGCUCCUAGCAUGCACACAAUGUUUACCUAUGGUUCUUACUUUGUGAAAUAGAUCAAAUGAACACAUUUCCAAUCAUACUCAUUUCACAACUCCUAAUCCUUUUUCAUAAGUGAAACAAUAUCAAAUUCUUGCCACUUAUGGAAUAUGUUAGAUUCUAAAAUUUUAUGCAAUGAUCCUUUCGUAAUGUCACUUCACUAAAGUCACAAUGACUAUUGCCAAUGAAAUUACAAAGUCCUCUAUCGGAGAUUGUUACAAUACAAUUGCUUAGAUGUGAUGUCUCUCACUCAAAGUACCUUCCUUUGAACAUCCUUUUUGCAUAAAUGUCACUUCACUAAAGUCACAUAUGACAACUCAUUCUUAAUAGAAUCUUAUGUAUUCAUAACAAUGUCGAUAUGGUCCAUCCAAUAUCAUGCUUCCAACUACUCACAAGCGACCAAUCCUCGGCGAACUUUGGAUUGUCCUUUGAUAGUUGUUUAAUUAUCUUAGUCAAAAUCGAUUUUUGUCAUUUUCCCUCUAAAUGUGCUAGACAUUUGGAAAAUUUUAGAAUGGUCAAAUAUUAUAGCAUUUGCAAUCGAUCCUAUACCCAAAGCGUAUGGGACACAAUGCAUAAUGUCUUACAUGAAGAUUCGAUACUUUAUCAAUCUUCUGCCAUAAUAUUUUAUGUGCUACGUUCUCUCAAAUCGAAAUAUGAAGAGGAAUGUCGUAAUCAUAAUCAAAAUUUAAGAACACACUAUGUAUCCUUGACUAAAAUUAUUAACAUUCCACAACCUAAGUCUUUAGAUUUGAAAUGAAGCGUAAUAUUCUCUCCCUUAAUUAUAGCAAAACAACUAUUCAACCCUUACAACUUUGCAAAGUAUGACUCCUGUUUUCUAUAAUUAAUAUUGCUAACUUGUAAUACUUGCCUUAAUAAUCAUGCAAUCAUAACAUUUAUGCUCCCACUAUCACGAUGAUUAUUACAAACAUAAGACUUAUGCUCCCACUAGCUUUGACAUGUAUUCAGAAACAACUUAACUUUCAGAAAAACAAUGCCUAUUGAAUUUCUUUAAGUUCAUAUUUCUAAUACCCAAUGCUUUGAUAAUCUUUUAUCAAGGCUUCUUAAACUUAUACACCUUUGCCUUAGAUAGUUUAUAUGUGUGUCUUAAACAAUUUAGACUAAUUGCCAAAUCUCAUAAUUCGAAUCAUGGAAAGGGAUACCGUAACCAUAAUCGAAUUCGAGAAUACAAUUUUCACAAUCACUAUCUUCUUAAAAUCUUCCUUAGUGAAAGCAUUUCCUCAUAGUCAUUUUCAUGAAGGAGGGAAUCUUAUGACACUUAGAUUUUAAUGGUGUAUGUGUUCCUAUCCAUGUGAAUUUGUCAAAACCAAAGUUUGCGACAAAUCCAAACUCAUAUGGACCGAACCUUCUCAAUUUUGAUUUCUUGCCUUAUGGUAGCACGGCUGCCCAUCAUGUCUUCCAAGUAGUUAAGCAGUUCACCCUUUCCUAUCAAUGUACUUUCCAUUGAUCAAGGUCCUUGCCUUUUAUGCGUUCAAAUGAGAACUCAUAGAACUCUCAUGCAUAAUUAACUCGAUUGGAACGGCACAGAAACAAGAUAAUGUCAACACGAUAGGUUGUAAACCUUAACUCGUGUGCUAGUGAUGAUUGAUAAGGUUUAUUCUUGGUUAGUUCUUGAAACCUUUCAAGAUCAUUAAGACUCCCACUGACUCCUUGACAUAUAAGAUUCUCUUGUCAAUAAAAAUUUCUUAACAAAUCAAUAUUCAAGAGUUAGUGUAGCCUUUAUCAAAACAUUUCAUAAAAUUGGUCCUAGUUGGUCUUUGUCUUAUCCAACACAUCACAACUUUCCAAUUUCAAAUGUGCGAGAAUAUGAAAACCUUUUUCCAAACUCUACGUUUGAUGAAUGUUAUAAACCUUCUUAAGACUUGUCACUCAAUAUUACAAUCUUAACUCUAAGACUUGUCUUGGAAUGAAGUAUGAUUUACUUCUUGAUUUAACCAUUUCUUCAAUCCUUGAUUCCUCUUCUUAUACAUACACUUGUACUAAGACUUAUUUAGAGGAUCAUUUGAAAUAUGGUUCUUAAUCAUUAAGACAUAUCAUAAAGUAUAAAAGGUACUCUCCCUUCUUCUUAGAAUAGAGAAACUUUUAUCUUUCUGCCUACUUGAUUCUUUUAUUCGUUCUGCUAUUGAUUUAAACCUUUUCAAUCAAUUCAAAAUUACACUUAAUCUUUUAAGUAUAAUCAUAUUUACUAAUCCUUUAGUAAAUCAUGAAGAAUAUCUUUGUUACCCUUAUGGUGGACUUGAUCAACACACAACUUUGUGUACUCGAUCUCCUAGUCCUUCACUUGACACAUUGUCAAUGAAUUUGUCUAAUUUCCAAAUAUGAAAUUUCUCAUUCAUCGUGCGACCAAGUUACAUGAUUCCAAGUCUCUGUCCAACUGAAACCUGGGCGAUGAGAAACUCUCCUUAUUUGGUAAAUUCUUGACAUUUCCACAAUUAUCAUAAUUAAGAAUCACAUCCACUCGUUGUAGAAAUAUACGAACAUCAAUUUCUCAUAAUGAUUUUAUUGCAAAGAAAUUUAAAUAAAUAAGUAAACGAGUCAAACCAAAAUUUAUUUUAUUCAUAAAAGCAGUGCAAAACAUUUGUCCUUACAAUGCAAAAAAUCAACUGAAAAACUAUGUAGUCAAAAGGAAAAAAUUCUAACAACUCUAUCAUAACUCUCUAAGCUCAAAAUCUAAUCUUCAAAUCCAUGCGAUCGAGAUCCAUUUCUUUGUGAUUAGAUUCAUCUUGCUUUUCCAUCAAGCUUCCUCUCUUUUCAUUGAUCCUGCAAAACAUUCAAAUGCAAUCUUAUCACAUCAUGUGUUAAGAAUCAACGAAUAGGAACUUAGUGGAGUUAGAUGGUGGAUUUUACCUGAAGCACAAUCAUACUCUUUGACUCUCCCAUCUUCUGGACUCUUCUGGCUCUUAGGGCAGACUUGUAUCCAACGCCCUUUCUCUUGGCAGCAAACGCAGGUCGAUUCUCCUAGAACAUCCUCGGAAGCAUGGUUGGUUGACUUUCCCAACAAAUAUGCUCCAUUGCUUUGCCAAAUCAUUUCUGAUUCAGCAGCAAUGAGCAUGUAAGUUAGGUCAAUGAGGUUUUCUUCAUGAUCCAUAAUAUAAUACUUUCUUUUGAACUCAUUAUAUGAUUCAGGAAGUGACUGCAGAACCCAGUUCACAACCAACUUAUCAGGGAAUGACACACCCAGCAUUAUCAACCUAUCGAUGUGUGAUUUCAUUCCUAGAACGUGGGCACACACGGGUUUACCAUCUUCAUGUUUCAUUUCCAAUAGGGCUGUAGUGACAUUGAACCUUUCAAUUCUUCGAUCUUGUGGGUUAGGGAGAAUAAUUGGAGGAGGUGGAGGAAGUGAAGCAUGAUUUCUUGUUCCUCGAUCGAAUCGUGGAAUAUCAUCUUCAUGUGGAAUGCUUGUUCCACGGGAUUUGGGAAGACCAUAGUUGUCGAACUUUGACAUCUACAAAACGGGAGAAAACGAAUUCAAGUUAGUUGAUUGAUUGAGUCCUUAGUAAAUCACCCAAAUGAGAUACUAAGGCUAGGACCCAACACAAUAUUCUACAACUCGGGAGAGGGAUGCCGUAACCCUAAUUGCAGAAUAUUUGAAGGUAAGUGAAUGACGAUUCACUAAUUUCCACCAUGAAAAACGAAAAAGAAAUUUAAGUUUUAAAUCUAUGAAAACUCCUAGAUCCUUUGAGAUUCAUUGAACCUUUCAAUGGCAUGUUUAAAUCUCGAUAUGCCCCUCUUGUUUGUGACUGGGAUGCCGAGGAUCACAAAGCGGGUGUGAAUAACCAUGCAAACUUACAUGGUGCCCUCACAUGUUACAGUCACCUAUUCGAUGUGCCGGUAAACCACACACGCUCCACCGAACUAUGACAAACAUUGAGUCACCCUUUGCUACCUUUGCUUAGAACCAUUUAGUGUGCCGGUUAACCACACACGCUCCACUAACGUCUUCGCAAGGGCACAAAGUGUAAUUUCAUGGAAUUGCAUCAAUUCACUUUUGCCUAAGUAACUAAGAUUGGGAAUUUGUAAAACAUUUAGUUACUUUUGUACUUCAUUAUACUUAUAAUGGAAGGUUUUGUCCUAUCCUACCCGUUCGGCUAACGACCCUCCACUAGUCAAGAGUGCGGUGGGUAAGAGUGGAUACCCAUUCAAUCGCCAUUUUAUAGGCAAUUUCCUUAAACACCCCUUAUAGACCAGCUUCGUGAAUGAGGCCUACUAACGGUAAGACUGACUUUUACUCAUACAUAUAUAUAAUGUUAGACUUUUAAUGUUAUAUAUAGUAUAGGGUGUAUUUUACACUUUUAAAAUACUAGGUGGUCAAAUUUAACAAUUAUACUUUUAAUUCAAUUAAAUUGUAAACCAAAACUUUUAUGGAUUUAUUAAACCUCUUUUAAUUAUACACCUUAAUUAAUUAAUAAAACCAUAAGGGUGUGAUAUGAACUUUUCAAAACAUCACUAGGGUUUUAGAAUUUAACAUUCCUAAAUUAAACUUUUAAUCAACUUUUAAAUUCCAAAACUUGAGGGCAAGUUUUGAAACAUUUCAAAACAUUAGGGUUUAGAAUUUAAAUAUACAUCAAAAUUAAACUUUUAAUCAAAAUUUAAAUUCCAAAACUUGAGGGCAAGUUUUGAAACCUUUUCAAAACAUUAGGGUUUCAACUAUUUAAAUUUCAAAAAAAAACUUUUGAGUUCAAAUUUAAACUAUAAAACCUAAGGGGGAAAAUUGAAACUUUUCAUAACACAAGGAUCAAAUAACAAAUAAUAUAAAUUAAACAAUUAAUUUUAUCAUUAUCUAUAUUUGACCUAAUUUCAAUUUCUUGCAAAAUAAGUUACCCAAUUAAUACAAAUAAUCCAACUUUAAUCAUAUAAGGAAGUUAUUAUCUAAUCAAUUGGUAAUUAUCUUCUGUUUAAUCAAGGAUAUACUCAUAAAUAUGUAUAAAAUCGGAUUUUAACGAUCUAAAACAGAUAAGACAAGUAUCCAUGAGAAAAGCAGCAAGAAAUCCCGAAAAUAGCUCCAUCUGACGCUCGAACUCACCGAGUACCACACUGGACUCGCCGAGUACACUGUGGUACUCGCUGAGUUCAUCAGGCAGGGAGCUCAAAAAUCGAAUUUUCAACUUGAACAAACAUAUAAGGCAUCAAUACAAUAGAAACCAAUCAAGGCUCUGAUACCACUGAUGGGUUUUGGUCAUAAGAACAUCCUAUGUGCUCAUACAAACCCUAAUGCUUGGAUCUAGGUUUCUCUAUUGUACAUGCAAUUCAUCCAAGACUAUAAACCCUAGAUCUAAAAUAUGAUAAUCAAUAUAACAUAUGAAUUAGGGUUUAGAUCAUACCUUGAUUGUUACGUAGCAAUAACAAUCUCAAAUCCUUCUUGUAUUGACUUUAGAAAGCUUAGAGUCACAAAUGUCACUCCUCUAAUGGUUCACAAACACCAAGAGCAUGAGGAUGAAGAAGAGAAGAGAAGGAGGCUGCCCAAAACGUGUGGAAACCCUCGAGAACAAGUUCACCACGUUUUUGGGGCAUAAAGGUUCUUUAAAUAGUGAGGCUAUUAGGGGUAUCUAACAAGGAAACCCUAAUUUGGAUGCUUAAGCCCUAAGCAACCCAUGGGCUCCUUCCUUAAAGGCCUUUGGACGAUUUCUAAUGGGUUUCCCCAUAGAAUUCGUCCAACCCUUUAAUAUGGAGUCCAUUAGCUCAAUAUUCAACUAUCACACAAUUGACAGUUCUAGUCUCUUAAGUUUAAUUAAUGUCUUUUAGCCACAAACUUAAUUCUUAUUAAUUCUUGACUAAUAUUAAUUAAACAAUAUGAUUUCUCCUUUAAUAUAUUAUUCUCAUAAUAUAUUAAUAAAUCAUAUUUAAUCCUUUCUCUCCAUAAUUCAUCCUAUCAAGUUGCUUUGGUGAUGGCAACUCUAAAGGAACAUGCACCAUCGGGUCAAGUACAUACCAAAUUAGUUAUGGACUUAGACACUAAUCCAACACGACUGUGGUAUGGAGUAAUCCUCAUGGAAAGAAUAAUAAAAUUCUUCCAACAUGAUCAACAAGAAGUAAUCCAAUGUCACUAUCAUAGGUUGGGUUGUGGCAAAAAUUGGUAUUAAAAAAAAUUGGUUUUAAAAUAAAAUAAAGAAAUAAAUUAGUUUUAAUAAAAACAAUAAAAGACUAAGGUAUUUGUUGGGUUUCAGCAAAAAAAUUGGUUGAAAGAAAAAAAAAAUUGUGUAAAAAAAUUGGUGUAAAAUAAAUAAAUAAAUAAAUGAGUGUUAGUUAAAAGAAAAUAAGGUUGAGAGGGGCCGAUUUAGAUGGGAGGAGGAGGGAACCCGAAGUGGGAGGAGGAGGAAGGAGGGGGUACUAAGGAGGGGAGGUCUUUGGGUGAGAAGGUCUGCCGUGAAGGUAAGAAGGGAUAGGUACUGAAGAGGUAGGUCUUCGGUGAAAGGUAGGAUUGUAGUGAGGGUUGCGAAGAGGUUGGGAGUAAUAGGGUCUAUGGGUUCGUUAGGCUGCGGUUAGGGUUUAGUGGUUAGGUUGCGGUGGAUUGCGAAGGAAGCAAAGAGGCGGGGGUUACGGUAUGCGAAAAAUAGAAGGGGUCUCCGGCCACGCUUUAAGUCUUCGGUAUGCGAGGGUAUACAUCAUGGAGGGUCUCUGGUAAGAAGGUAUGUGGUACGACGAUUGAGAGGAUCUCCAGGUAGAAGUCUCCAGUCUGAGAGGACCGCAGAGGCUUUGCAUGAGUAGACCUUCAGCAGACUUUGGUGAGGCUUUUGGUCCUCGGGUUAGGUAAUUUCGUUAGUUUUUGGUUUAUGGUUCUAGGCACCGAGGAGGAACAUGCUGAUGACGAAAAAAGUCUUUUUUCAUGAAAUUUUGAUACGAGGAGGCUAUAUCUUCGUGUUUAACAAAGAGAAUCUUUCCAAAAGCAUAUGAGGACAAAAUGGAGUGUUGUGAAUGGUAAAAGGUGGCAUAAAGUAGGAGAGAGAAAGGUAAAAGUUGAGGCGACAAGACAUACGUCAAAGGAAAAGGAUGAGUAUGCAGGGGAAAAGGUGCAAAGUCAAAUGGUUUUUAUUUAGGAGGAAAAUAAAGGGUGGAGUACUCUUUCUAAAAGAGUAACAAGGACAUACGCGUUUUCAAACAAGUUUAUUACAUCCAAGUUCUUCUAACAAAGAUUCACCAGCAUCAAAUGAAGAACAAAGAGCAAAAACAUCAUACCUUUUCUGAUGAACAAAAAAAAUGUGCUGAUAACAUCUUUAAAAAAAAUUCUCCAUCUUCUUCAAUAAAAAUCAAAACAUUGUGUCUAUUUCCAUAACAUAAAAAAAUCCUGGAGCAAAUUCUUCAAAAUCUUCAAAUAUUUAUAGACCACAAAUAUCAUAUUCUCCCUUUUUCUUCUUCAUUUCCAACAGCAACAUAAAAGGCUUUUCAAACCCGGAUUGUCAACAGAAAAAUAUGAACAAACAACAAUAACAUUUUUAUUCUUAAAAGCUUGAAUCAACACUCAAAAAAUUGAAAAAAAUCAUCAUAAGAAUAUCCGGUUGCGAACUAAAAAAUUCUUGACAGAAAAUCGAAAAAUCAUCAAGAUAAAAUAACCGAUCGGUAGUUGUUCCAUUGAAAUAAUCGCUUAGAUCUUCAAUGUACGGCUCUGAUACCAGUUGUAGGAGCCCAUUUUGACGACCAGCUUGUGAGAAUAAGAAUAUAUUGAGAUUUAACGAUAAGAAAAAUGUGAAGAGCAUAAAAGAGAUGAGUAAUCUGGUAAUUUUACUAGAAAAGAGAGUAAUAAAAUAUGACAAUACAAGAACACUUGGUGGAAGAAAUCCCACCACACUCUCUCUCACUAUAGACCACUCCCUCUCUAUUUAUAGAGAGAGGAAACUUACAAUACAAUAAAGGGAAAUAAAAUAACCUAACUUAUUACUCAUAAUUUGCAGAGUGUUUCCAUACUCUUACAAUUUCCAUUGGGGCCUGAGCAGCAGGUGACAUUCGAGACUCUAAGACAAAAAUUGUGCGAGGCCUAGUGUUGACCCUCCCCCGAGGGUGUUGAGGAUUUUAUGCUAUUUUGUUAUGCGUCCAUCACGGGUUUGAGUGCAAUUCUUAUGUAGUGUGGGGGAGUUAUUACUAAUAAUUCUUGACAUAUGAAGCCGCAUGAGGUCCGUUAUCCGACUCAUGAUUAGAGUUGGGAGCAGUGGUGUUUUCUCUCAAUAUUUGGCGGAAUUACUUGUAUGGGGUUCAACAUACUAUCUACACGGAUCACAAGAGUUGAGGUAUGUCAUGGACCAGCCGAAUCUGAAUAUGAGAUAGCAUAGGUGGCUUGAUGUGGUCAUGGAUUAUGAUUGUGAGAUUCUGUAUCAUCUCGAGAAAGCCAACGUGGUGGUUGAUGCCUUGUGCCGCAAGAAGGUUGGUUCUAUUAUUGGGGGACUAUGUAUGAGGAUUUCGAUUGAUUUGCCACUGUUGGAUUUGAUUAGGGAGACUCAGGCUGAAGAAGUCAAGGAGGAAAACUGGAAGCAGGAGAGGCUUAGGGGUGAGAUUAACAAGUUCGCUACUAACAGUCAUGGACUAUUGACCCGAUAUGGACAGGUUUGGGUGCCAGAUUUUGUUGGGUUCAGGCAGACUGUGCUGGAGGAGGCACACAAGUCCAUGUUUUUUUGAUACACCCCUGAGCCACCAAGAUGUAUCGGGAUUUGAGGGUUAUUUAUUGGUGGUCGUGCAUGAAGAGAGAGAUAACCUGGUAUGAUGAGAGGUGCUUGACCUGUCGAAUGGUCAAAGUCGAGCACAAGAGGCCGGAUGGUGAGCUACAUCCAUUGGAGGUUCCCAUGUUAAAAUGGGACCAUAUAAUUAUAGAUUUCAUCACCAAGUUACCUUAGACAACUAAGGGAAUUGAUGCGAUGUGGGUUAUUUGUUUCCGUUUGAUCAAGAGCGCCCACUUUCUAGCCAUCCGAGAGAGUUCUUCGGUCGAGAAAUUGGCCGAUUUGAAUGUAUCUGAUCGAGAUGUUCGGUUCAUAUCUCAUUUUUGGCAGAAGUGCCAAGAGGAACUGGGUACAAGAUUACAUCUUAGCACUGCUUAUCAUCCACAGAUUGAUGGUCAAAGUGAGCGAACCAUUCAGACAGUUGAGGACCUGUUGAGGACCUGUGCCAUAGACUUCUAUGGGAGCUAGGACUCCUACCUUCCCUUAGCUGAGUUUCCUUACAACAACAAUUAUUACUCUAGUAUUAGUGCAUCACCUUUCGAGCUUUUCUAUGGGAGGAAGUGUCGUACCCGAGUAUGUCGGGGAGAGAUUAGCCAUAGGGUAUUGGGAAGGACUGAGGUAGUCCUUCAUACAUCAAAGUUUAUUCAACAAAUUAGACAGUGGUUGUAGACAGCCCAAAGUCGGUAGAAGAGUAAUGCCGACAAACGUCGAUCUGAGUUGGAGUUUCAGGUCGGUGACUUCAUUUUGCCGAAGGUAAUACCCUAGAAGGGUGUAAUACACAUUAGGAAGAAGGGAAAAUUAGGGCUCCAGUUUAUCGGGCCAUUUCGGGUGAUUUCCAAGGUUGGUAAGGUAGCUUAUAUGUUGGAUUUUCCUGAGGAGCUCAACCAAAUUCAUAACACCUUCCAUGUUUCGCAGUUGUGGAAGUGUAUGGCUGAUGAUUCAGCGGUUAUUCCUUUGGAUGAUGUUUAGAUUGAUGAUCACCUAAAUUACUUUGAGAUACCAGUGGCGAUUUUGUAUCAGAAGUAUUUUUGGUCAAGGUUCAGUGGAAGCAUCGGAAGGCUUCUGAAUGGACAUCAGAACUCGAGUCUGAGAUGCAGGAGCAUUACACAGAGUUGUUCACAACAGUAGACUUCGAGGACAAAGUAUAGUUCAAGUGAGGGUGAAUUGUAACAUCUCGACGAUGAGGUAUUUCUAAAUGUAGCUCUGAAGUAUGGAGGUUUAUAGUAUUUAGCCCUUGUGUAUGAGAAAGCUUGCAAAAUGAUGCAUAAUGGUAUUUUCGAAUUGUCGGGGUCGAGCUCUAGUACGUUGGGCGUAAGCUGUGUACACACGGUGUACAUGCGAGGGCUUAGUACGAUGGGCGUACACUGGCAUACGUGCGAGGUUCUCAAACCCUAAAAUUUAGGGUUUGGACCUUAUUUAAACAUCGUAAUGGCCUCCAACCUCAUCUCUCAUCGGCCUCCAACAUCUCCAUUCUAUUUUAGCAAACCCUAGCCACUUGUUUGAGCAUUCUUGACCUUGUGGGUGUGUUUUGGUGGGUUUGAAGGAGAAAUAAGGAAGUAGAACCACCUUAGAAACUUGAAAGAGCUUUAGAUAUGGGAUAUUCACCUCUCUAGCAACCUCCAAGAAGUAUAAAACUUUAAACUUGGCUUGUAUUUCCUUAGGUCUUGCUAAGUUCUUGAUUCAUGAGCAUUUUGGUCCCAAGACUUGACUUUUUGGACUAGUCCUUUCUAGCUGUCCUUUCAUAUGUUUUGAGGGGUUUAGAAGCAUAAAAAUAGGGUCUUAGCUCUUAAUCCUUCUCCAUGCAUGUGUUUGAUUGUCUUAAUGGGUUAAGAGGAUGUGGUUUCUAGCAUUUAGCACUUAUUAGCCAUGCAAGACCAUAAAGUUGAAAACUUUAUGGUCAAGGAUGAUAUUUGGGACUUGGAUCUGCAUUUCGGUCAUAAUAGCUUAAGUGUUAAGCACUUAAUUCAUUAAGUGAAGGUCCAGUUGCGUACGUUGGGUGUACCAAUUGGUACGCGGAGCGUAUGUAGGGUAAGCCCCCGACUCCUUAGACAAUAAGUAUGCCCCAUAUACAUCCAAAGUACGCCCUAUGUAUGAGGUCUAGGCCGACUUGGCUUGAUUGAGUCAAUUGAUUUUGUUGAUUUCGACCCAUUUUGACCAAGGGUAUUUUGGGAAAUUGUUAUCAAUUUAGAAUGCAAAAUGUUUUGAUUAUUAGGAGUCGGGUAGAGUCGGUUGUUGGGGCAAAGAUUCAUUUAGAAUGUAUUCGGACUGAGAGGUGAGCUUUCCUCAUUGUACUUAUGGGUCGAAGGCACUAAGACCAGCCCAUUGGAUUAGAUAUCAUGUUUUGUUGUAUGUUGUUAUGCGGAGUUAUGUGGUAUUAGCUAUGUGAUUAGACUGGAGGACAACAUGUGUUGUUGUUAUUGAAUGAUAAUGUUAUGUAUCGAUAUGCUAUGUUUUAUUGGGUUGAGGCAGACUAGUUGAUACUGAAGGCUAAGAUACCCUGGGUGGUCUGGAUAGACUGAAGGCUUGCUAGGCGAUCCGGUCAGGACGAAGGCCUAGAGAGCGGUCCGGAUAGGCUGUAGGCCCCAUGAGGCAGUCCAGUCAUGCUGAAGGCUCUGUAUGCAUGUUGUUAUUUGUUAUGUUAUGUGGUGGUACUUCGGGGGAACUCACUAAGCCUUGACUUACAGUUUUAGUUUUGUUUCAAGUACUUCCGAGGACUGUGACAAGGCGAAGGCUUGAUCGUGCACAUCCUUCAGUUUUAUGUUAUCUGGAUUUUUGGGACACUCUGAUUAUUGGAAAACACUUUUGAAACAAUGGUUUUAUAAACAUUAUGAAUUGAAUUGUUGUUUUGAAAAGUUAAAAUUUGUUGUCAUUUUUGAGUUGUUACAAAUGAUUAUCCUAAUACUUGGUGUAAUGUUUGAUCUUGAAUACUAUUGUCAACUUUUAACUCAAAGUAGUAUUAUUUUUGCUACAAGAUUCUUGUGGUGUAUUUUUCUAACAUAUUUACAUUGAUUUUUGAGGGUUUGGUUAGAGUCGAGUUUGUUUGUUUGUUUUUUUUUUUGGAAAAAGGAUGAAAUUCAUACUAAAAAUGAAGAAAAUUAGAACAAAUUAAAUGAUCAAUCUAUAUGGAUUAUAACUAUAUGAUCAAAUUAAAUGCCCAUCUAUUUCUUUGUCGGUGAAUUUCUUAUACGGGCAAGCAGCGAGACUUUAUAUAGGAGACCAACAUAUAUGUUCUGCCACUGGGGUGCAGCAAGGCUACCCCUUGGGUCCCCUUCUUUUUGUCCUUGUUUUGCACCCUCAUGUGCACAAGAUUAGAAACAAUUACAAACUCCUUCUCCAUGAUUGGUAUCUAGAUGAUGGGACUAUCAUUAGCGAUUUAGAGGAGGUGGCUAGAGUGUUGAACAUUAUUCGGGUGAAUGGUCCAGGCUUGGGUCUUGAGCUGAAUAUUAAGAAAACAGAGAGUUUUUGGCCCUCAUGUGAAUGUGGAAAGCUUCAUGCCGAUUUAUUCCCAACGAAUAUAGGGAGACCGUCUUUGGGGGUGAAGCUCCCUAGGGGGCGUUAGCAGAGACACAAGGUUUAUUAGCGGGUUGGCCAUAAAGAGAGCGAUCAAUGUUGUUGAUUUGAUGGGUCUUCUUCUACAACUAUGUGACUCGCAAAGUGAGCUCCUUUUACUUCGAUAAUGUAUGGAAAUUGCAAAAGUUUUCUUUGGUUUAAGGACAUGCCAACUAGAUAGAAAAGACAACUUUGUUCUUUGACAAAGGAUUGUGCGGGUCUGUGGAGGAUAUGGUGGUAUCUGGAGGCCCCUUCUUUGGAGACAUCCAAUGAUAUCUGACUUCUUUAUCUAUUCGUUUCGGUGGUUUGGGUUUGUACUCAGCAUAAAAGGUUUCGUCCUACGCAUUUGUAGUCUCGAGGGCCCAAUCUUGGACAUUACAAGACCACAUCUUACGUGAUAAUGCCAUAUGCAGUCUGGAUCUGAUUACCUUUGUGCUUUGACUCGUCUUCACCAUACGAUUAUGAGAUUUUAUUGUAGCGGUUUCACUAAUAAAGAUACCGCCCCCUAAAUCCCAAAAGUAUUGGCGUGUGCCAUUUUUAGCAAAAUCGUCAAAUACAUGGAAGUCAACUUCAACACGACCGUUGGACAGAAAACAAUUUUUGAGUGUCUUCGGGCACCUCAUGCUUAGGAAUUUUUGCUAACUAUCCCUAUUGAUGGCCUCGACAAUCAUAUGUCUCAUGUGGAGUACCGAAUCAUCCUUCAUUAUCGCCUCAUGAUUCCUCUAUUCCCGAUUGACGAGAUAUGUCCAGUUUGCCGCAAGGCAUGUUUGGACACUUUUGGAGAACAUGCGGUUCAUUGUAGAGUGCUCACUGGUUUCAAGUACCCAUAUAAUGUGGUUAGGGAUGUUCUCUUUGAUCCUUGUCGGCAUGCUGAUAUUUCUGUAAAGAAAGAAGCACUAGUGAACUUUUUGACGGAUCAGCUGGAUGGAAGAUCUACACUCAGGUCGAUUGACAUUUUGUUUUUUGGAUGGGUAGGAGGGAAGUACGCUUGUAUGGAUCUUACUGGGGUCUCUCCUCUCACCGGUUUGAGGAAGGGGGGGUUUCACAGCAGGACAUACCGCUUUGAAAGUCAUUGCGUGCAAAGUGGCAAAGCACGAGAAUGCAUGUAUACAAAAAUUAACAUGUGUUUAUACUUUUUGCAUUUGUGACCUUUGGUUUCCUUGCACCAGAAGCGGUGGAGCUCCUUACCAGAGUCUAACUUGUCAUGCAUUCUAAUGUUAUAUCUCCUAGAUCCAUAGAUCAGGGGCGGACACAUGAUUCAAUGUAGGUUUAGAACGAGAAAGUCAGGAGUUGCACAGUAGUAGAAAAAAAUUCAAAAAAUUUCAAAUUUUUUACACUACGGACGGAAAAGUCAGGGGUUGCACGAGCCACUAUGUGCCCUAUACUAGAACUGCCCCUGCCACAGAUGUUGUUUUCAAAAUAAUUAUUUUGUCAUCUAGAAAAAACUAAUGACGCAGCUUGUUGCCCGUUUGCUUUCCGUCGAUAUGUAUUGACUUUUUUUUUUUUUUUUUUUUUUUUAUCAUCAAUAUAAAUUUUUAGACAUAAAUUAAAAAUAAACUAUGCAAUCUAUGGAUUUAGAAUAACCACAUGCAUUAUUUUUAAAAUUUGGUGUUCUUUAUUAGCUAUGCGCCUUCCACAAGGCUUCCAGGGAGCCAUACGGUGGCCAUGCAAGCGUCACAAGAUGAACAUGGCGAAACGUCACUUAUCUUUUACCCAUCCUCUCGUAUGCGCGUGUUAGAAGAAAUGGCGUUCUUCUCAAGUAGAAUACGGUCGCAUGGCGCGUGGUCGUGGAUAUUAAUCUCCUAAAAGUUUUUAGUAUUUCCUUGGAACCACUUGGCCAUUUGUUAAUUUUAAUUUUUAUUUAAAGUAAUAGAAUACACUAUUUCCGUUUGUUAUAUUAUUGGGAGGUGAGCUCUAGAGUCGUACUUCUCGCGAACAGAUCUCACAACAAAUAUUGUAUGGAGAGUUCCUGUUGGCCAGAGAGUUUACCAAGCAACCGGAUCAAAGCCAUUCAAAAACUCACACAAGGUCAACACUUAACCAGUAAGCUCCGGGAGAUGCUCCGACGAUCGGAAAAGACUGAGCCUGACAUCAACUCAGUUGAUGAUGUGGUGGGGGAGAUCUUGGGAAUGUUUGAUAACACCCUUUCGAUCUUGAACUCUUCUAGCUUUGAAGAAGUUCCUGAUAUGCCGAUUGGUGAUAUUAGAUCUCCGGGCAGUUGGGAUGACCAAAAGUCAGAAAAUUACGGCGAAAGUACCAAGACCCUAACACCAUUGAAAGUUAAAAGGGGGUGUUACAAAAGGAGGUAUGCUUCUACUUUAUUGCAAUGAUUUAUCACUGAUAAUGGAAAUGACUAGGUAAAAGUAAGCUUUAUGUGCAAAUGAUGUUGAUUGUACGAGAUUACUUACCUUCAUCCAAAAUAGAUAAAUUAAAAUAGUACCCUAUGAAAAAAAAAAACAAGUUUAUAUUUUUAUAAAGACACCCCCUUUGUAUGUGUAUGUAUAUGCAUAUCGAGUUGCUAAAAAAGUACUUUCUUUAAUUGGGCAUAUGCAGAAAAGAUUCAUGGACAUCUAUAAAGAUAACUCCGAGGUUGAUUGAUGAUGGGCAUGCUUGGAGAAAAUAUGGUCAAAAAGUCAUCCUCAACGCUAAACAUCAAAGGUAAUUAAAAUCUUCUCGAUUUCAAUAUUUCAAUAACUUAUUAGAUCUUAUUGUAUGGAUAAGUUUUUCAACCUUACUAUCCUAUUAAUGAUACCUGUACAGAUUCUAAAGUUCGUCAGAAUCGCCAGCUAAGUCGAUUAAAGACAAAAUAUUUUAGUUCGAUAUAAAAUAUUACGUUUACUUAUUAAUUAAGUAGGUUAAUUGAAGACAAAUGAGUUUAAUUAUAUAUUGAGAUGAAGUCUUGUAUAACACAACUGGUUAACCUAUGACCACUUUUGUAUUUCUUAGAUAUUACUAACAAGUUAAAAAAGAUCCACCUAGGUUACAACUGGUCAAUUCAGAAUAUGUUAUAUGUAACAUUUACUUCAUGGAAUGUAAACCACAAUAUAUAGUAAGGGUAGUAUACUAUACAUUUAAGAGAUAUUGGAAAACAUUUUGAUGACAUAUGUUUCGCUAAUAUGCAGGAACUAUUAUAGGUGCACACACAAAACCGACCAAGGGUGCCGUGCAACCAAACAAGUUCAAAUGACUGAAGAUGAGCCACCACAGUAUAAGAUAACCUACAGUGGACACCAUACUUGCAACAACUUGCUAAGAUCCCCUUUAAUCAUUUUGGAUUCUCCAGAUCAUAAGGAUAACUCAUUCGUUCUUAGUUUUGAAGGAACGGGACUUAAUAACAACAAACAAGUCGACUCUUGUUUCCCCUCAGCAAAACAAGAUCCAAAGGAGGGUUUUCCAUCUUUAGUUUUCAGGCACAACGAAGCUUCUUCAUCCGAUAAUUACCUUCCAUGGGAUUUGACCACACAAGUUCCAUCAGAACCUAUGUCUAUGAUGUCAUCCGGGCUAGACCAUGAGGACAUGAUAUCUUCAGAGGUAUAUUCGUCUACAUGCAGUACCCAUGGCUAUGAGAUAGAUAAUAUCAUUGGAAGCAAUAUCUUUGGUGAUUUCCCCUUUGAAAUGUGCUCGUAGUUAGUUUUUAUUUCAGCAUAUGUUUCAAACUUAUAGAUGGUAAGAUGCAUAUAAACUUCCUUUAUGAAAUUGAUUCAUGAAUUUGGUUAAACAAGAGUUUGAUUGCAACCGUACGUUAGGCAUGAGAUUAUCUGGAGUUAUUGGCUUGUGAUUUGUUUGUCAACAUGUGUUGAUCAAAUGGUGAGAAAGAUAGACAACUAGAAAGUUCGAAAUUACGUUCAAAUUAGAAAUAACUUUCAUUUUGAAAGAUCAAGAAAUUUGAUCUGAUACUCAAACGUCUUAUAGUCAUAAAAUGACAUUGCGAUGUUAGUUGGUAUUUACAUACAUGAUACAUCUAAUAGUGUAUACAUUUUUGAAAAAAAAAAUAUAUCCAUAUUUGAUUACGCGUGCGCGUUUGUAUUUUCUUUCCGUUCAAUCGUUGUAAUUCAAAAAAUCGGGUCAAGUCUUUUCGCCAAUGACUUGUUUGGAUUUAACUAACACAGUCUUUGUAAUUCAUAAUAGUAUAGUAAUAUAAAGAAUGUAAUUUUAAUUAUAUUAUUUAGUCUUUGUAUUUUGUUCAUUUUAAUAAUUCGUUAAAAUGAUACUUUAACGUUAUUUUAAAGAACAAAUAAUAUAAAUGGGUAUUAUGGUUUACAAAAAGUAUCAAUUGUAUUUAUUUAUUUAUUUUUUCUUUUUAUCUUACAUAGAAGAUAUUUAUGGAUUCAAAAAAAAUUACACGGUCAGUCAUUUUGUCUAACUUCAUCUCUUUUAACUGUUUAGCAUAUUUAUAGACAUUUGUAUCUUCUUUUCAUCCAUUUCUUAUUUCUUAUUCGACUCUUUUAUUUUUAAUUAGGGCUGUCUCAUUUUCAUAAAGGCUUACCUAAACCUAAGCUUUCCUUGAUCAAAGCAUUGGGUCCGUAAAAGGGGGGGUGGGGGAGGGUUGAGAUGGUGUUUGGUAGAUCCUGCCAUCCUGAUCAUCUUCUCGGAUAAGCCAUUGGAAAUGUGUGUAUGAGAGAGAGAUUUUUUUCCUCAGGCGAUACAAACAAGUUUAUUAUGUCACCCCCAUUAAAAUUAUAGCAACGUCCUAAAAUUUCUUAUUAGGGUAAACUAUGCCAAGAAUGAUCCAAGGACCAAGUUUAAACUAUGCAACGGCCUAAAAUCUUUUUUUUUUUCUUGCUUUUAUACUUUUUUAUGUAAUUUUUGUUAGAAAGACCAAAAUCAUAAAAAAGUAUAAAAGCAAGACAAAAAAUGUAAACUAUGCUAAAAUGAUCCAAGGACCAAGUUUAAAUGAAAUUUAUAUCUUAACAAGUCAUAAUAUGUUUAAGAAUGGGAUUUAUAUGCUUGGAAUUACGAUUACAUAAUAAUAUAGAAUAAGAAUGACAACAACUCCCAUUAUGCUCAAAAGUGCGACCAGAAUGGGAAAAUCACAUAAAGAUAUGAUAAGAAUGAAAACAAGUGAAAUAAGACUUUCGUAACCUGCCUAAAAGUAUUUAAAGUGCGUUGGAUGCUUUUAAUCCCAAAAAGAAGGGACCAAAAUAGUUAUAUGCAAAAAUCUUGAAAAAUAUGACAAAAUUCGACAAAAUAUGUGAAAUUGUGUGCAUGUAAUCUUAAAAUUUUGAUCUAUGUUUUUUCUCUAAUUGAACAUACAACUUGAACAACAAAAUAGAAAAACCCUAAUCUUCUAGCAUAUUUUCGAAAUACACAAAAUAAAGGUUAGAAAAAUCAUACAUUGAUUGUUAUGUAGUAAUAAGAAUUCAAAUCCUUGUGUUGAUGAAGCCUUGAGAGCAAGCGUCACAAAUGUCACGCCUCUAGUAGUUCACACCAAACACUAGAAAUGGAAGAUGAUUGAGAAGAAGGAGAGAUGCUCAAAAUUCUCGGUUGGCUUUUCUAAAGAACAGAUGACCGAAAAUUAUAGGGUUUAGGUUGUUUAUAUAGUGCAGUUAGGAAAUCCUAGAUAAACCCUAAUCCAGGCUAAUCUUAAACCAAAUAGUUAUCCACUUUUCUGUUUAUCCACCAAAGACUAUUUUAGAAACAAUAAGGCAUAUGAAAGCCGUCCAUAGCCUAUGGAGGGUUCUAGAUUGCCUCUUACUCAACUAUUGAAUAAUUACAUUUAAGUCCCUACACUUUUAAUUAAUUCUUUUAAUCCCAAAAUUAAUUCCAAUUAAUUUAUGAUUAAAUAUUAAUAUUUAUAAUUAAUAUAUUAUUUCCAUAAUAUAUUAAUAAAUCAUUUAUUUUAAUUUACUAAUUAUAUAAUAAAUCAACCUCUAUCAACAAAAUCAUCUUGUCUAGUUGCUAGUCUUGAGGGCUAUCCAAAAGGAUUAUGCUACUAUCAAUUUAAGUAUAUACCAAUUUAUAGUUAUGGGCUUAGCCACCUAAUCCAAUAGUCUCUCAGUUGGAUAAGUCUAAUAACUAUAAUUACCAAUAUAUUCUUCUAAACUGAUCAGCAAAUUAUAGCUCUCAAAAGCCGUUGUCGGAUUUUGACCUAGUCAAUCAUGUGUCCUAAGAUAAGUGAUCAUAUAAUCCUCCAUUCUACAAGAUAUCAUGUGGACGUGACACAUGGAACAUAAUCAAUGUCAUUAUCCAAUACUUUGUUUCCCGAUUUCUAAUUUGUAGUGUCAAAGAAAUACUAAUCGAACACAUCAAUAUAGUCCUGGUCAGGCCCGAUACUAUAAGUCAACACCAAAUCAUCGAGGGGCCCAAAGAUAUCACUUUUUCUCCCUAAGGAUCAAAAGGAACAGAUAAACUUUGACUUAUAUGCUUGUACUAUCUACUCAUCAAAUCAUGCACACCAAUACAUUUUAUAUCAUCAAAUUACCGAUCUGUUUACGUAUCAUCAAUGCACAACCAAAUUGUAAACAACAACUCAUAUAUCUCCGCUUACAGAUUAUAAGAUAUUAUCAUCUCAGAAUUACUCGUGAUAAAAUUCCAUGAAGUAAUUCUCUGAGCGUGGAUUUAUCCAAUACUCAAAUUCUCUAUUUCAAAGUACUCAAGAAUAUUGCAGAAAUACCAUUGCUAUUUCCAAAACCCUUUUAGACAAUCUACAAUUCAAUUCAUGAUAGUCUUGAUUCACUACUUACUUCCUAAAGUAUGAUCGACUGUGGAUGUUCGAACAAUCAAAAUUAUUCGGGAAGUAAAACAUGCAAAAUGAAACAAAAAAUAAGUAAUAGAUAGAAGGUAGUAAUCCAACUCAUUAAUAAAUCUCCAUUACUUAAUCACCAAAAGUCAAUUACAUUAAUUUCGUUACAAGUUUUUAAAUAUUUAUCUAACUACUAAAACUAAUAUCAUCCUUCAGACCAAUGCUCCUAGCAUACUGAAUGUGCUUUACCCUACUCAGACCCUUUGUGAGGGGAUCUGUUGGGUUCUCUUCUGAUGACACCCUCUUCACGACGAGAUGACCCUCUUCUACUCUAUGUCUAAUGAAAUGGUAUUUUUUUUGUCGAUAUGCAUUGACCUGCCAUGAUCUCUUGGUUCCUUUGUUAAGGCAACCGCCCCUUCAUUAUCACUGAAAAUCUCCAUUGGCUCCUUAAUGGAUGGAACAAAUCCAAGGUCUCCGAUGAAGUUCUUUAACCAACUAGCCUCCUUUUAUGCUUCGCUUGCCACUAUAUAUUCUGAUUAACAGGUAGAAUCAACCACUGUCUCCUGUUUGGAACUUUUCCAAGUUACUGCUCCUCCAUUAAGGGUAAACACCUAGCCAGAUUGACAAUGGAAGUUGUCUCUGUCUCUCUGAUAGCUAGCAUCGCUAUACCCAGUUACUCUUAAGUUAUCACUGCCACCAAACACAAGGACCUAAUCCUUAGUUCUUCGUAAAUACUUAAGAAUAUUCUUAACUGCUAUCCAGUGAGCUCUACCUGGAUUUCCUUGAUAACGACUGACCAUGCUCAAAGCAAAAGCCACAUCAGGGAGAGUACAUGUCAUAGAAUACAUGAUAGAUCCAAUGGAGGAAGCAUAUGGAACUCUACUCAUUUCUGCUAUCUCUGAAUCAAUACCCAGGCUUUGAGUCUUACUCAGUUUGGUAUUACUCUCUAUAGGCAGUUCUCCUUUCUUGGAAUUUUCCAUACUAAAAUGCUUUAGUACCUUAUCCAAGUAUGUACUUUGACUAAGUCCAAUCAGCCUUUUACUCCUGUCUCUCAAAAUACUUACCCCUAGAAUAUAAGCAUCCUCUCCCAGAUCCUUCAUAGCGAAACACUUUCCAAGCCAAGACAUAACCUCUUGAAAAGUUGGAAUGUCAUUUCCUAUAAGAAGUAUGUCAUCAACAUACAAUACUAGUAAGGUUACUAUACUCGCACUAGUUUAGACGAAUAUAAAAGAUUCAUCUUCACUUCUAGAGAAACCAAAAUCCUUUACCAUCUCGUCAAAGCAAAGAUUCCAUCUACGAGAAGCUUGUUUCAAUCUAUAGAUUCAUUUCUCAAGCUUACACACUCUAUCAGGGUACUUUGCAUCUAUAAAACCCUCUGGAUGACUCAUGUAAACAUCCUCAGCCAACUUCCCAUUAAGGAAAAGCAGUAUUGACAUCCAUUUGCCAAAUUUCAUAGUCACGAAGUGAAGUUAUGGCCAACAUUACCCAAAUAGAUUUUAUCUUGGCCUCUGGUGAGAAAGUCUCGUCAUAGUCCAUCCCUGGGGUUUGAGUAAAGCCUUUCGCAACUAGUCGAGCCUAGAAAGUGUUUACCUUUCCAUCCAUGUCGGUCUUCUUCUUGAAGACCCAUUUGCACCAACCGUCUUACGACCUGGUACAUUUUCAACCAAAUUCCAAACAUGAUUGUCACACAUGGACUUGAUCUCGCCGUCCAUUGCCUCUUUCCACUUGGCUGACUCAGGGCCUACCAUGGCUUCCUUGUAGUUAGCUGGUUCAUCCAAAUUUACUAGUGUACUAUCACAGAUAAAUGUAUCACCUUCUACAGUAAUAUGGAAACCAUACAACUCUGGUUGUAUUCUAACUCUAGUGGAACGCCUAAGAGGUAAUGACUUGUUAACUGGUUCAACUGGAAUUUAUUCCUCAAGUUAAGCCCUAGUAUUAUCAGAAGUUCCUUCAUCGUUUGACUCUUGAAUUUCUUCAAUAUCAAUGGUACUCCUAAUGUCCUCUUUUCAUAUGAUCUCUCUCUCUCUCUCUCUCUCUAUAUAUAUAUAUAUAUAUAUAUAUAUUGAAAGACCCCCAUUCGUGCUACAAGGACCACGUUGUCACUAGGUCUUUAUAACAAGUAUCCAAAGGACUCAUGUGGGUAGCUGAUGAAAAUACAUCUCUCACUUUGAGGUUCAAUCUUGUCGUGAGUCUCUCUUCUAACGAAAACUUCACAACCCCAAACCUUGAUAUGUGCAAACGAGGGAAUCUUGCAUGUCCACAUCUCGUGAGGUGUUUUGGUAACCUUCUUUGUUGGGACAAGAUUAAGAAUGUGGGCGGAAAUCUCUAAGGCAUACCCCCAGAAUGAGAUUCGAAGUGAACCUCGACUCAUCAUGGAGUGACCCAUGUCCAACAAGGUUCGAUUACGCGUCUAAGCCACACCAUUAAGUUAUGGUGUCCUAGGAGGAGUCAAUUGUGAAACUAUUCCAUAUUCCUUGAGGUAGUCGUGGAACUCAAUACUAAGAUACUUACAGCUUCUAUCGAAUCUAAUCAUCUUUAUCUUCCUUCCUAAUUGAUUCUUGACUUCUUUCUUAAACUCUUUGAACUUUUCAAAGGUUUCUGACUUAUGCUUGAUAUAGCCAUACCUUCUAUAAUGAUCAGUAAAAGUCACAUAGAAUUGAUUUGCAUCCGUUGUGGUGGAUCUGAAGGGCCCACACAUCUGUGUAUAUGAGAUCCAACAAUCCUUCACAUCUUUCACAAGAACCAGUGAAAGGUGAUUUUUUCAUCUUUUCCAAUAAACAAGACUCGCAUGUGUCAUCUGACCUUAAGUCAAAUGAUUCCAACACUCCAUCCUUUUGAAGUUGGGCCAUGCGUUUCUUGUUGACAUGUCCAAGACGACAAUGCCACUAGUAUGCUUUGUCUAUACCAUUUGACGAAUCAAUAUGAAAAACAGUAAUUCCUAAAUUGUCUAAAAUCAUCACAGUUUCAUACACACCAUCACAAGGUAAAGCUUCAAAAUAAAACAGGCCAUUUUUAUAAGAAGAAAUAGAACCAUUCUUAUCAUCAAAAGAAUAUCUAAAUGUUGGGUUUUAUACAAACAAUCCUAUGUGUACAUGCAACCCUAGCAUUGGAUCUAUGUUUUCACUAUUAGAUACACAACAUUAUGAACACAUAAUUAAACCCUAAUCAUGAUUUUCGAAAUUAACCAAGAAGGUUAGAUUACAUACCUCUUGUUGUUAUAUUGUAAUAACAACUUAAAUCUUCAAACCCAAAGUCUUGAAAGCAAGCACCACAAGUGUAGUGCCUCUAAUGGCUCACAAACACCAAGAGCAAAUGGAGAAGCAAGAGAGAGAGAGAGGGAAGAGGUAUAAAAUUUGUUUCUAGGAACCCUAGACAAGGCAUGGAUGAAUUCUUAUGGCCUUAGGGUUAUUUAUAUAGGUGUAGAUAUUAGGUUUCAGUCCUUAUCCUUAUCUAGUUGCUUGCCCACCAAGCAACCAUAAGAUAAGCCUUGAAAACCCUUAUCUUUUAUCCUUUGGACGAUUUCAAGGAUCCUUAUCUCCUUGAAUUCGUUCAACCCAUAUUUAUUAUAACCAUUACCAUAUUUUGUAACUAUCACAUAAUUACAAUUCAUCCCCUCUAGUUUAAUUAAUUACACUUGAUCACAAAAUUAAUUCCUAAUUAAUUAUUGACCAAUAUUAAUUAAACAAAUAUGAUUACUCCUUUAAUAUAUUAUUCUUAUAACAUAUUAAUAAAUCAUAAUAACCUCUUUCUCUAUUAUUUCUCCAGUCAAGUUGCUUUGGUGAAGGCAACCCAAAAGGACCAUGUACAAUUGGGUCAAGUAUUUACCAAUUAUGGUUACUGGCUUAGACACUAAUCCAACAGUCUUCCACUUGGAUAAGUCUAGUAACUAUAAAUGUAAGUACACCUCGAUUUGCACUCAUAGCUCUCAAAGACGCUGUCAAACUCUGAUAUUAUCAGUAACCUGUCCUUCAGAUAAGGGAUCAUAUAUUCCUCCAUUCUAGAUAUCAUAUAGACACGAGAUAUGGAUUAAAAUCAUUCUCUUAGUCUAUGUGUUGUUUCUCGAUUUCCAAUUUACGACGACUGACUAAUUGAACAAAUCAAAUCAACCCUAGCCCGGUCGAGCAUUUACGUUUGUCAUCACUAAAUCAUCGAGGGGCCCAAAGAUAUCGCUUUUAUCCUAACUUGGAUAAAAGGAACGGAUAAACUUUGAUACAAUGCUUGCUUGCACUUACUCACCGAAUCACACACAAUAAUAUGUUUUAUAACAUCAAGUUACUAGUGCGUUUACAUAUUAUCAAUGUGUAACCGAUUUGCAAGAUACAACUCACACAUCUUGGUUUCAAGAAUAUAAGAUGUUAUCAUCUCACCAAUCAUUCGUGAUACAGUUAAUGAAAUGAUCCAAGUGAGUGUGGGUUUAAUCCAAUGCUCAAAUUCAUAUUCAUAAGCACUCACGAACGUUGCAGCAAACAUUUGCUUAUGUCUAAUACUCUUUUAGACAAUCCACACACCAAUUCAUGGCAGUCUUCAUUCAUACCUACUUCCAACAUAUGAACGACUAUGGCCCAUUCGAAUAAUUCGAUUAUUCUUAAUAAAUUCAAUUAUUCUGGAAGUCAAAACAUGCAAAUGUGAAACACAAGAAUAAUACUAAUCCCAUAUGGCCUCAAACCUUUGAGUAUAAAUAAAACACCUUUUAUUUAUCACCAUAUCGAUUACUCAUUAUUUGUCGUUUCGGGUAAUCAACUUCUUACUUGAAUUAUUACACUUGUCCCAUGCUCCUAGCAUGCACACAAUGUUUACCUAUGGUUCUUACUUUGUGAAAUAGAUCAAAUUGA